UUUAACUGAGCGUUCAGUUACUUGACGUAGACCCGAAACCGGGCGACCUACCCAUGAGCAGGAUGAAGCGAAAGUAAAAUUUCGUGGAGGUCCGAACCCACGAGCGUUGAAAAGCUCGGGGAUGACUUGUGGGUAGCGGUGAAAUUCCAAUCGAGCCCGGAGAUAGCUGGUUCUCCCCGAAAUAGCUUUAGGGCUAGCCUCAAGGUGAGAGAUACGGAGGUAGAGCACUGAAUGUCCUAGGGGGUAUUGCACCUACCGAAGACUAUCAAACUCCGAAUGCCGUCAUCUUAUACUUGGGAGUCAGACUGUGGGUGAUAAGAUUCAUAGUCGAAAGGGCAACAGCCCAGAUCGUCAGCUAAGGUCCCUAAAUGUAAGUUAAGUGGUAAAGGAUGUGGGAUUGCACAGACAACCAGGAUGUUGGCUUAGAAGCAGCCACUCAUUCAAAGAGUGCGUAAUAGCUCACUGGUCGAGUGAUCCUGCGCCGAAGAUUUCCGGGGCUAAAACUUACUACCGAAGCUACGGCAUCAGUAAUGAUGGGUAGGGGAGCUUCCCAUACGGGUUGAAGCAUGACCGUAAGGACAUGUGGACAGUAUGGGAGUGAGAAUGUUGGCAUGAGUAGCGAGAUGUGGGUGAGAAUCCCACAGGCCGUAAACCCAAGGUUUCCAGGGGAAGGUUCGUCCGCCCUGGGUUAGUCGGGACCUAAGCUGAGGCCGAAAGGCGUAGGUGAUGGACAACAGGUUGAUAUUCC
rnacentral:rRNA from 1 species